AAGUGAAACUGAGCGAGCUCAUGGUCCUGCCUCCAGCCUGUCCGGCACAGCCCAGCUUGGCAAAGACUUCUGGCAGCCCUGAGGCACUGGCAAGUGGGGAGAGAAUUCCUGGAUCUGUUUCUCUCUGGGAAAGCAGGCUCUUCAGGAAGAAAAGAGAAGAGUGUGAAAGAAAGGCUGAGGGCACCAAGUCCAGAGUGACCGCCAAGGAUGUGAGCAGUACGCAUGAAAGGCAAGCCCACUGGGACCAGAACAAGGCCUGAAAGUCAAAUAUCAGGCUUAGGAGGCCAGGACCACCUGACCUCAGAACCCCUUCUGGCGGAGCCCCUCCUCUGGUGACCUCAAGGAUGCAGGUACAGCACAGACUGUGAGCAAGACCCCUGUGCUCUCUGUCCUCUGCUGAGCAGCCCAGGCUCCAGACCAAAGGCCAAGAUUCCUGUCCUGACCCACCCCAAACCAGGAGGAUACAGAGAGCCCAGGGCUGUGACCACUGACUGAGGCAGGGUUCGUGGGCAGAACUCAUCCAGCCCAGGUCUUGCAGGGCACAUAAACCACCCUUCAUCUCCACCUGCUCAUAGAUGUUCCUCACCGCAAUUUCCUUGUCAGCUCUCUCUAAGUCCUUCUGAGACGACCUCAGCUCCAACUUGGCCUGGUCCAGUUCAGAGCAGACUGUCUGCAACUGCAAGCAAGUGUAAGGAGUGAAGGACAAACACAGGGGUGGCUGUGUGCCCUGCCCCCACCUGCUGCUACACUAGCUCCUGGGAGCCCAGGCCCAGGAGGAGCGGGGGACCCAGGGAAGACCCGAGCUCCAUGGGGCUGGACCUUAGUCUUAGUCUGGCAGCGUUCAUCUGGAGCAGUCCAGGGCUCCUCCCCACAUCCAUGCCCUGAGAUGCACCAUGCCCAGAAAUAAAAGCAGCUGUGUUGACUGA